UACAGAGGGUGCGAGCGUUGUUCGGAAUUAUUGGGCGUAAAGGGCGCGUAGGCGGCGCGGUAAGUCACCUGUGAAAUCUCCUGGCUCAACUGGGAGCUUGCAGGCGAAACUGCCGUGCUGGAGUGUGGGAGAGGCGAGUGGAAUUCCUGGUGUAGCGGUGAAAUGCGCAGAUAUCAGGAGGAAUACCGAUGGCGAAGGCAGGUCUCUGGGCUGACACUGACGCUCAUGCACGAAAGCGUGGGGAGCAAACAGG
rnacentral:rRNA from 1 species